AAACUAACAAGGAUUCCCCUAGUAACGGCGAGUGAAGCGGGAAGAGCUCAAAUUUGAAAUCUGGUAGCCUUCGGUUGCCCGAGUUGUAAUCUAGAGAAGUGUUUUCCGUGCCGGCCCAUGUACAAGUCCCUUGGAACAGGGCGUCAUAGAGGGUGAGAAUCCCGUCCUUGACAUGGACCCCCGGUGCUUUGUGAUACACUUUCAACGAGUCGAGUUGUUUGGGAAUGCAGCUCAAAAUGGGUGGUGAAUUCCAUCUAAAGCUAAAUAUUGGCGAGAGACCGAUAGCGAACAAGUACCGUGAGGGAAAGAUGAAAAGCACUUUGGAAAGAGAGUUAAACAGUACGUGAAAUUGUUGAAAGGGAAACGAUUGAAGUCAGUCAUGCUCUUAGGAUUCAGCCGUUCUGCGGUGUAUUUCCUUUGAGUGGGGUCAACAUCAGUUUUGAUCGAUGGAUAAAGGCACGAGGAAGGUAGCACUCUCGGGUGAACUUAUAGCCU
rnacentral:rRNA from 1 species